rnacentral:rRNA from 1 species
GACGUAGGGCGCGAGCGUUGUCCGGAUUUAUUGGGCGUAAAGAGCUCGUAGGCGGUUUGUUGCGUCGGCUGUGAAAUCCCGAGGCUCAACCUCGGGUCUGCAGUCGAUACGAGCAAACUAGAGUGUUGCAGGGGAGACUGGAAUUCCUGGUGUAGCGGUGAAAUGCGCAGAUAUCAGGAGGAACACCGGUGGCGAAGGCGGCUACCUGGACAGAAACUGACGCUGGAGGCGCGAAAGCUAGGGGAGCAAACAGG